GGAGGAAUAGGGGAGAAGAGGAGGGAGCCGGAGCGCUCAACGCCUCCCACUCCCACAGCAGAGGCGGCAGCUGUAGGGGGGGUUGCGAGCGCUCACCCUGAUUGGAGCACAGUUUCCUAUCCCUCAUUGGAGCAUGUCAGUAUUUGUUAUUUGUGCAUGUUCUUCCCUGGAGAUUCGAUCUGGGUGAGGUGAGCCAGAAUGUCAGGGAAGGGAAGGUCUCUGACGAUGCUCCAGAACCAUCUUGCCGCCUCCACCGUGGAAGGGGGCCGGAGACGACGACUAUGACUCCUCCCCAGCAACCACAGUAUAGCUGGGCUCCCAGGUGUAUUCUUCUUCUUCUUGAAGUCCACUCUUUCUUGAUUUUUUUGGCCUCUUGAGAGUGGCUCUUUCGAUUGCUUGCAGGCCCUUACCCAGGGAUACCAUGUACAUGUAUAAAGACGAGGACUUGCAACUCGGACCCGAGCAUGUCGGCGGUGAAGUUGGGUGCCCAGCCACGCUCUCCUCUUAAUUGGUGUAUGUGUUUUUUCUUGGAUUCCACUGUGUUGAGAGUUUGGUUUCUUGCAGACUCCGACCAGGAUAGCCAGAUCGCAAAGAGGGCGACAAUCAUACUACUCAUCGUCCUGCAGAGCAUAGGUGCUCUUGAAUGAAGAUCCAGGGCUGAUAAAAAUGAAGCCCAUGUCGAGGUUGCAUUUGGACAAGUGAACCCUUCAAUUGCAAGAUCCUUUCUCACCCAUAAAAGCUCUUCAUCAAACAAUGAAAUUGAAGCUGACAUUUCAAGAAAGGCUCCAUUCAGUUCUAUGAUCCAGGCAUUCCGGUACAUGUCAAUAGAGAAUCUGAAGCUAUAACUCUUAUAAAGGCUCAUGUAUGGUGUGUUGCCUCUUUAUCUUGGAGCUAUUGUGGGAUCUGAUGAAUAUAUGGACAGAGAAGAUGGUUUAAGUUCAUUUCCUCAAUAGUCAUGUUUCGCAUUGAUCUUAUCAGAUCUCUAGCACUUCUCCGUCGUAAAAACUUUGGCUUCCAAUUAAACAGCAACUACAUUACAUGUGCAUGCAAUUUUGUUUUGGUAAGGCCAGCUUUUCGUCAAAUCCAAACAGACUCAUAGUUUGCAAGUUAUCUAGAAACUCUUUGUGCCUGCUAAAUAUAAAUAUUUAGAGGAUGUGCCUUUUUGUCCGACAGUGUGCAUUGCAUGCUAAACACAUAUCACUCCUCGACCUACUUCUCGCCUGACAGCCUGGAUCAAGCUUGAGAAGAGCAUCAUUGCCAAGUGAAGACGGGAGUGGCUAAAAUAGAGUUCGUGCAUGGAGUUAGAACAUUGUGUAAACGUAUAUUAUCAAAACUAGCAAGUCUACUAUUAUAGUGUGCGUGUUUACCAUAUUUCUCUAUGCCCUCCCACUAUUGGUGUAUACCAUUUACCUAUUUCUCAAGGUUAACUUUUUAUGCA